rnacentral:lncRNA from 1 species
CACUUCCAAAAUUCGUUCAGCUCCUUCUGCCUCCGUCCCCCUCCCCAAAUGGCAGUGUCACACUCUUUUGGGCUACAGCUUGGGGAUUCUGGGGUUUGUUGUUUCGAAAAAAAGGAAACGUUCCUGCACUCUUGUUAAAGGUCAAUGAAAUGGGCUAGAAAGAACCUUAGAAGGCGGGAAGGAGUUCCCAGAGGGGGGGUGGAAAGUCUGCGGGCAAAAAAGCAACACAAAAAUUGUGACGCUGGUGACUUCGCAAAGAUCUGUCCUCUGAAGAUGCUGGCCACAGAGACUGGCGAAACGUUAGGAAGAACAACCUUCAGAACACAGCCAAAGAGCCCGAAAAACCCACACCAACCAUCAUCAUAACUACUCCCGAGUAGGAUCACUGCCAGAGGUAAAAAAGCACAGGUUUCAGAAAGCACCUUCCCAUUUGAGAAGCCCCAGGACAAACGCUGGUUUCUCUGAAAGUGGAGGGUCAUCCCUCGUGGCAGACGCCGGCUUUUGACAUCACACUGGGAAGUUCAGUCCCUGUGCCUCUUUCCACCACCUUGUCUGGAGACAGCCAGGUGAGUCUCCUUGCAACUGCCGGAGAGGAGAUGCAACCAGGAAGUGCCUGCCGCCCCACCUGGGCAAGAGAGCAAACAAGCCGCCAGCCAGCCAGUCAGCCGCCCACGCUUCACCUCUCCAGCCUCCACGCCUGUUCUGGGGAGCUUCCUCACUAAAAACUGUGGCCUCCACAGCGGGGGACCCCUGGCCUUGCCCGGCAGACGAGACACUCAGACGGAGGAUGGCUCCUCCACCACCCCGAAGAGCGGAGCCUGUAGCCUCAGAAGCCCCGGAGAACCCGUCGGCCCUCCUCUUGGGGAGUUUGGCGUCCGUGGCCCCUGUCAUCCUGACGAUCCUUCUGCUGCUUCUCUGCUUCCACUUUAAAAGCAAAAAGCGGCAGUUCUCAACCGGAGAUCCCACGAGGGACCGAAACACCUCCGUGCUGCUUCGCAUGAUUGGAGGACAAAACGAGCCGAAUGCAGGAGCAACGCAUCUGGAGAAUGGAGGACUCUGCCAAGGCUAUCCUGGAAGCAUUUCUAUGGAUUUUUCGAGUUCUGCUUGUGAUUUUGAUGCGUGUCCUUGCUCAGAGUAACAAGAAGAAUAGCAAAAGUAACAAGCACCACAACAAAUAAUGUAAUCAGUUACUGUAUGGCUUUGUGAAGAGUAAUGAGCAACCCUAUAAUGAAUUUACAAGACUAUCAUGAAUAAAAAGUAGAACUGAAUUAUUUACA